GGGUAUGAGGUUUUGAGUAUGUAGGUGAGAGGGAGUGGGUAUGAGGUUUUGAGUAUGUACAGUAGGUGAGAGGGAGUGGGUAUGAGGUUUUGAGUAUGUAGGUGAGAGGGAGUGGGUAUGAGGUUUUGAGUAUGUAGGUGAGAGGGAGUGGGUAUGAGGUUUUGAGUAUGUACAGUAGGUGAGAGGGAGUGGGUAUGAGGUUUUGAGUAUGUACAGUAGGUGAGAGGGAGUGGGUAUGAGGUUUUGAGUAUGUAGGUGAGAGAGGGAGUGGGUAUGAGGUUUUGAGUAUGUAGGUGAGAGGGAGUGGGUAUGAGGUUUUGAGUAUGUACAGUAGGUGAGAGGGAGUGGGUAUGAGGUUUUGAGUAUGUACAGUAGGUGAGAGGGAGUGGGUAUGAGGUUUUGAGUAUGUAGGUG